rnacentral:rRNA from 1 species
UAUUGGACAAUGGGCGCAAGCCUGAUCCACCAAUGCCGCGUGGGUAAGAAGGCCUUCGGGUUGUAAAGCCCUUUUGUACGGGAAGAAANACGCUGGGUUAAUACCCUGGCGGAAUGACGGUACCGUAAGAAUAAGCACCGGCUAACUUCGUGCCAGCAGCCGCGGUAAUACGAAGGGUGCAAGCGUUACUCGGAAUUACUGGGCGUAAAGCGUGCGUAGGCGGUUUGUUAAGUCCGUUGUGAAAGCCCUGGGCUCAACCUGCGAACUGCAGUGGAUACUGGCAGGCUAGAGUGCGGUAGAGGAUGGUGGAAUUCCCGGUGUAGCGGUGAAAUGCGUAGAGAUCGGGAGGAACAUCGAUGGCGAAGGCAGCCAUCUGGACCAGCACUGACGCUGAGGCACGAAAGCGUGGGGAGCAAACAGGAUUAGAUACCCUGGUAGUCCACGCCCUAAACGAUGCGAACUGGAUGUUGGGCUCAACUUNGAGUUCAGUGUCGAAGCUAACGCGUUAAGUUCGCCGCCUGGG